rnacentral:rRNA from 1 species
UACGGAGGAUCCGAGCGUUAUCCGGAAUCAUUGGGUUUAAAGGGUCCGUAGGCGGGCCGUUAAGUCAGGGGUGAAAGUCUGCGGCUCAACCGUAGGACUGCCCUUGAUACUGGCGGCCUUGAGUUAUGGUGAAGCAGCCAGAAUAUGUGGUGUAGCGGUGAAAUGCAUAGAUAUCACAUGGAAUACCGAUUGCGAAGGCAGGCUGCUAACCAUAUACUGACGCUGAUGGACGAAAGCGUGGGUAGCGAACAGGAUUAGAUACCCUGGUAGUCCACGCCGUAAACGAUGGAUACUAGCUGUCCGGCGGCAACGCUGGGCGGCCCAGCGAAAGUGAUAAGUAUCCCACCUGGGGAGUACGUCCGCAAGGAUGAA